GCGUCCCCGCGGGCGGGCAGGGAGCCCUUCCCCUUCCCUUCCCUUCCCCGGGCCUCCCCCACCGCUUCCCCCUGCCCCGCGUCCCUCGCAGGGCGCCGGGCCGGCACGGGGGUCUGUGCGCUGCACCGCGCCGCAGGGAGGGAGGGAGGGAAGGAAGGAGGGAGGCGGGGAGGGGGAGAGAGAGAGAGAGAGAGAGAGAGAGGCUGAGCCAGAUCUUCAUGCCACUGCAGGCAGCAGCAGCAGCAGCAAAACUUCUGAAGGUUUGCAGAAGACAAUAAGAGAGCCACCAAGAAGGCUAUUGCAGUGUUGUUUUGCCAGAAUGUACAAAUAGCUGUGAUGAAAAAAAGUGAGGAAAGGAAACUAGAUUGAUGGAGGUGAAAAAUCGCACCAAGAGUGACUGAGAAAAUCUGUGAACCUAUGCCUUAGGUCAGGAAGGAAUCAGAUGAAAAAUUGAAGCACAGUCACCUUGCUUCCYCAGAGGACUUCAAUACAGAGAUCUGCACAAUUUCAGCUCUAGAUCUGUGAAUUUUAGGMAAGCUCCAUGAAUACAUCUGUUCAAGUUCCAGCAAGUAGAAACUAGGUGUCAGAAGAACAUGUAAAGCUCUGUCAAGGGGUGCUUGUUUCCUGUGGGGAAGGAUUGUUUGCUCAGUUUCCUGGAAGUUCAAUUUACGUUAUCAGUGGCUGUUAUUUGCAACUAAUGAUGACAAUAUAGAAAUACAGGCUGUAGGAGCUGAUUUAUGUUAUURUAAUUGAAUUAUUAUUAGACAGUASUUCUGUAAGUAUKGUAUAUUUGAUGGUAACAGAAAAUCAGUGGAAUUACUCAUGCAGCUUCAAUCAGCCAUUUAUUCAUGAUUUGCACAUCUAGACUUACAUAGACAUUAAUCGUCAGGUUUUUACUUUCCUUAUGUUCCCAAGAAAGGUGGUAUCUAUACUAAAUUUGGUUUUCAAAAAAUACAUUUUUACUGCAGUAGUUUUGUAUUUAUUUAUUGCUAAACACAGUAU